ACUACUUUUUAUAUCACACCCUUCAUUUCCACAUAAUAACAUCUCAUCAUCACUGUUUUCUAUACCACAGUAAUGUCCUGUGCAGUGAGUCCAGAUGGAGACAGGAUAUAUGUGAUCAACAACGACAGUAACCAGCUGGUCACCCUGUCCAGGGAUGGCACAGUGAUUUCCGCCCUAACUGUAUCUGCACUGGGCUCACCAACUGCACUACCUGGCCUACAUGUGACAGAUUCAGGACAAGUUCUGGUGUGUGGAUACUGGUCUGACAAAAUCUUCCAGGUUGACAAAGAUGGGAGACAGAUACUGGCAGAGGUGGUCACAAACAAUUAUGGUGUGACUCGCCCUAUGUCUGUCUACUGCAGUAAGAACACAGGCUCAAUCAUUGUAGGAAUGUGGGACAAUAAUGACAUCAUAGUGUUUAAGGCAGAGUGACUGUUGGAAAAGGAUGACGUUCAUGUAUAAUAAUUCUGAGUAAAUCCAUGAGACCAACAUAAUUAACAUUACUCUACCUUAUAUUACGGGACAGGGCAGAAUGUCCUGUACUAACAAGAUCAACUUGUACUUUCAAUUUCCAGGUUGAAAAAGCUCCCCUCCCCACUGCAUUUACAGUUGCGUUUAUGUGAUGCUAGUUUCAUCUUCAUACCUUAUGCUAUGGUUACCAUAUUCCCUUUGUUUUAAUUUUUAGUAUAGGAACUGCAGCUGGUCUCUUCUGUUGCAAGGCAGAGUCUGUUUGUCAGAUAUUUCAACAGUUGCUAUAAUUAAUAUUAAUUAAAUGUUAGGGGCCUAUCAGGGUCAUUAUCCACACUAUCACAACAUCCAAAUAUGAAAGGGUAGGCAGAUUUGAAUAAAAGCAAGGAACAGCGAGAAUCUGGGGAUAUGGAAUUGAGUGUAUACAUGUUAAAGUACAAAAAGUGUGAGUGAGUUAUUCUUUAAUUUAAUUGGUGACGGUGUAUAUAUUUAUAAUUUAAGAGUUUCAAUAAAAUGUAGUCUAUAUACUGUGUUGUGACUAUUCAAGAUAUAAACUGUCUCCAAGAAAAUUGUAACACCUAGACACAAAUUCCACAUGUACAUUUGCAAGGGCAAUAACUGUGCAAUGAAAGCAUGAGUUACAGUUCUUAUAUACUGGGCUUCCACUGCUUGACCACUUUGUACACAUUAAGUUCUAAGUUGCUACCUCGAAUAAUUACAAAGACAUGCUCUGGAAAAAUAUAAGUAUAAAAUACACAAAGGGGGCAAUAACUGUAAAUAUGGCAGCAAGAAUAGUGUCUUUGUGAAAGUUACAUCCCAUCCCCCCAAUUAGAUUGUGUAAUUUUCAAGAUAUUCUCCAGAAAAAAUUAAAGUAAAAUAAUAAACAAAGACAAAUAACUCUUAAAAUAUGAUUGCAAGAUUUAUGGUCCUUAUGCACUGCACAUCCCCCAAAUGAGAUAUGUUCUCUAUUAAGUUUAAAGUUGUUACCUAUUUUUUAUUUUUUAAUAAGAAUUCACAGAUUUCACAAAAAAUGAAGUUAUUUCACAGAAUUCACAAAGUAAUAAAAAAAGUUAUUUUUAAAACAAUAUGGAAGCAAAAGUAACAGUUUUUCAAGUAAUGUGCAAGGAAAAAACAUAUAUGCAAAAAGGGCAAUUUUGUAUUGGUGCAUUUAUUUAAUACCCUUAAUUUUGCCUUUGAAUUAAGUUAAAGCUGGAAGUAAUACAUAUUUCUUCAAUCUAAUCACUCAGGUCUCACACACUUCUGAUAAAUACCAGUUGAAGGCUAUCUCCCAUGAGUACCUCUUGAUUUCUGCUAAUUAAUUGCUAUAAAUCUUUUUAUUUCUGCAAAUUGCUAUAAAUCUUUUUAUUUCUGCAAAUUGCUAUAAAUCUUUUUAUUUCUGCAAAUUGCCAAAAAUCAUGGUCACUUCUGCAUAUUUUCAGAAAUUUGCAUACAGUCUUAUUUGAAUAGUAUAUAAAUGCGGUUUUGGGAAGAAAAAGGGGAGGAGAACAGAUGGAUGCUUUUAGUAUAGACUAUUGAAAUCUUGUGCCUUGAUAUCAACACUUUUACAUGUACUUUUCAUUACUAAUCAUAAUAGUGUAUUUCUUAAUGUACUUUUCUUAAAUAAAUGUGUGAUUGUGAAAUAAAAUUAGUUGAAGA